rnacentral:rRNA from 1 species
AGUCGAGCGGUAAGGCCCUUCGGGGUACACGAGCGGCGAACGGGUGAGUAACACGUGGGUGAUCUGCCUUGCACUCUGGGAUAAGCCUGGGAAACUGGGUCUAAUACCGGAUAUGACCUUCGGCUUCCUGGUCGUUGGUGGAAAGAUUUAUCGGUGCAAGAUGAGCCCGCGGCCUAUCAGCUUGUUGGUGGGGUAAUGGCCUACCAAGGCGACGACGGGUAGCCGGCCUGAGAGGGCGACCGGCCACACUGGGACUGAGACACGGCCCAGACUCCUACGGGAGGCAGCAGUGGGGAAUAUUGCACAAUGGGCGGAAGCCUGAUGCAGCGACGCCGCGUGAGGGAUGACGGCCUUCGGGUUGUAAACCUCUUUCGACUCCGACGAAGCGAGAGUGACGGUAGGAGUAUAAGAAGCACCGGCCAACUACGUGCCAGCAGCCGCGGUAAUACGUAGGGUGCGAGCGUUGUCCGGAAUUACUGGGCGUAAAGAGCUUGUAGGCGGCUUGUCGCGUCGAUCGUGAAAACUCGGGGCUCAACCCCGAGCUUG